AAUUUGUUGAUCUCUAAACAGAUCAACAAAAUCAGUGGAAAACAUCAAGUGCCAGGCAUAGUGAGUAAGAAGGGUCUCAACUAGACACACAUGGGACAUUUUGGAACAGUAAGAAUAAAGAUCCUUAAAGCUUGCAGAAAAAAAAAUCGGAAAGAAGAAUCAUGUUGUAUCCUAGCUCUUUUUCAGAAAUGCUAGAUGCUGAGGACAAUAGAUCAGUGCCUUUAAAAUUCAGAGGCAAAAUUUUUGAACUUAGAUCUCUAAACCCAGCCAAAUCUUCAGUGAAGUGCUAGACAUACAGCCUUUUCAGACAUGCAAGGACUCCAAAGAAUCCUCCUGCCCUCUUUCAUAGGAUGUUUUUUAAGAACAUAUGCCAGUAAAUAAAAGUGGCCAAACCAAGGAAGAGGAAGAUGUGGAGCCCAGGAAAGAAUGGUUGAGCCUGAGCAACCUGUCUAGGGUGGAGCAAAAUGAGUUUCUAGGAAUAACAGUAAUUAACAGAUUCGAGAUGGUGGCAGAGAGCUCGAAACUUGAGAAGAUGAUAAAGAUGACGUGCAGAAAGGAAGGAAUCGUUUAUUCAAAGUUGCCUCCAGGAAUACUCUCUUUUGAAUGUUGCAGUGGCCAUAUCAACGCAGCUACGAGAGGCGGUAUCUUUGCAGCAGCAACAGCAACAUCUGUACUUUACAGCUUUCUUCCAUUACGUAAUAUAGAAGGUACUAAAUUACCACCUCCUUUUUUAAAAAUUUGGGUUAUAGUUGAUUUACAAUGUUGUGUUAGUUUCAGGUAUACAGCAAAGUGAUUCAGUUAGACAUAUACACACAGAGACACACACAUGUGUGUGUCUCUGUGUGUGUAUAUAUAUACUCUUUCAGUUUCUUUUCCGUUAUAGUUCAUUACAAGAUAUUGACUAUGGUUCCCUGUGAUUCAGUUAGACAUAUACACAUAUAUAGACACAUAGGUGUGUGUAUGUGUGUGUGUGUGUGUGUAUAUAUACUUUUUCAGUUUCUUUUCCGUUAUAGUUCAUUACAAGAUAUUGACUAUGGUUCCCUGUGCUAUGCAGUAGGAUCUUGUGGUUUAUCUGUUUUAUAUAUAAUAUUAAUCCCAAACUCCUAAUAUAUCCCUCCCCCAGCUUUCCCCUUUGGCAACCAUACGGUUUGUUUUCUAUGUCUGUGAGUCUCUUUCUUAAACCCACCUUUUUUGGAAAGGAUGAAAGGCGCUCUUCCAGAAUUUUGUUUUCUUAAGACCUUUAUGGAGCGUCAAGGACGCCUCCCUAAUUGUGAGAAAAUUUGUACUUGAUUGCUGCAAACAUUAAUAUAUGGGGGUGGGGACAUCGUCCAAGAACCAGUACAACCCCACGUCCUGACACUGUCCCCUAUUUACCAGUCGCAUGCACAGCAGGACAAACUGUCCCCGGCUCUGUCGAGAACAACACAGACAGGAGCAUCGUAGCAGAAAUACCGUUUAUUGAUUUUUUUCAACUUGUAGAAUCAAUCGAUGGACAGGCGUGGUGCCCCCACCCUUCUUGCCAGCACUGUCUGUGGAUAGUGCAUUGGGGGGCGGGGUGGGGACGGACAGGAAGUGGCCCCGUGAGUGUGCUGCUCCCUGCUGAGGAGUUU
rnacentral:lncRNA from 1 species